AGAUCAUGGUAUGAUGACAAUGUUGGUCAAGGUUCGUUGGGAGAGAGACGGGAUUCAGGAGGAGACCUGGGAGUCCGAGCCCCAAAUGAGGAUUGAUUAUCCAGAGCUGUUUCGGGGUGUCAUCGGAGAGUUUGGUGACUCGAAUUCGGGGUCGAAUUCCUUAUUAGUGGGGGAGAGUUGUCAUGACCCAAACCCAGGCCCAUCUGACAUUCAGCGAAGCCCAAAACCAUUUCCAGAAGCCCAAGGUAUUUUGUUACAAAUACCCACCUUUCCACCUUGUUUUCUCAUAAACUUCAUCAUAAAGGAAGAGUUAGAGAGAGAGUGAACUAAGAAGAAGAAGUGUGAUCAUUUUGCAGUGAGUGGGUCGCCGGAGCUCGUCGCCGGAGCAACCGUGUGCCGUGAUCACGUUCAGCUCGUCACCCCCGAUCAACACCCUAGACCACCAUCGUGUUCCUCUCGUCGAGACGAAGCCGUAGACACCAACCACGCCGCAAUCGGAGCCCGGACGAAGCCGCUAGAGCCUCUCGAAGUUUCGCCUCUGAGCGGGCGUGAAACGCACGCGCCGUCGUCGUCCGCCGGAGCCACCGCGCAUUCCGGCCACUCGCCGCCGUCUCCGACCGCCGUUCGCCGGAGCCGCCGUGACCGGCCGCCGUCCGUCCGCCGCCGAGAAGCUGCCGCAGCGUCGCCGCCUCGCCGCCGUCGCCGCCGCUGAUUUUCCGGUAAGCCGCCGCCACCCUCCGCCGUCGCCGCCGGGACUAGUGCCGGUGAUUCGCCGGCGACUCACCAACUCGGCCGAGUCGACCCGGUGAGUCAACUCGGUCACUCGGUCAACCGGUGGUUUGACUGGUUUAAUUUGAUUUAGGGUUGGUUAGGUUAAACCGCCGGUUAAAAUCAAUUGGAUUUCGGUUAGGAUAAACCGGUUAGAUAGAUUAAUUAAUUAAUUAAUCAAUUGAUGGUUAAGGUAAACCGGAUGGUCCAAUUGGAAUCGAUUUCGGUUGAGUUAAACCGGUUGGUUUAAAUCAAUUCCAAUCUGGUCAAGGGUUGACCGGCUUGGGUCAGAGUUGACCGGGUUGACCUUUGACCAGCGUGUUGACUUUUCCGUAAACCUUGACUAAACCCGUUUUAAACCAUUCGAAAGCCGUUCUGACUUAGAAUUUCGCCCUGAUUUCAGAUUUAGAGUCUAUUUGAGCAGCUGGAGUUCAUAGAUACCACAUUUCCCUAUUGCUAAGGUGAGGGGCUAUUCCCGAACUCCUCUUACACGGUUUAGGACUUCGAAUAAGUAUAACUUAUUUCUAAUAUGUUCCGUCUGCUUGAAAUCGAGUCUGUCAUUGCUUGUUUAGUUAUUAGGUUCUUUGCUUAAACCGGAACUAGGUUGUUAGAGGAUUCAACAUUGAUUGCUUCACUUAAUGUAAAUGCUUAGCUAGGAUUGUUUUUGAGUGGAGACGGAUACAGAGACGGACUUCUGUAUGCCGGAUUGUAUGAGGUUAUGGCCAACUAUAGUCGACCGGUUGAGCUGUAGCCUGGAAGUGUCGAUAAAUCGUCCACGGGCGGUGCCCGAGCACUAUCUCGAGUUGUGUUAUGUUUUUGGCCUGUUAGUGGGCGGCGAGUGCGCGCCUCGCUAGGAUCAUUGCUUGUUGCUUGGGUACUUUAGGUGCCGUGUUUGACAUGUAUUAGAAUUAAAUUAUAUUUAUUCGGAGUGUUAUGUCCGGGUCCAUGGACUUCGGGGUAGCAUCCCCCAUACCUCAUUGGGCGACUCACCUGUCGCUCACCCCUCACUUUUCCCCCUUUCAGGUGAGACCGACGAGCAGGAGUGAUUAUCGGACCGGUGCUAUUGGGCUUUUGGGCUUCUAUCGCUUUUACCGCUUUUAUCUUUAUCGGGCCUUUGGACUUUUAUCGUUUAUGUUAUUUCCUAUUUCAGACUUUCGGUUUACGUCGUAUUUUAUAUUUCGGAUGUUAUCGAUGUUGGGCUUUUAGGCCUUAUGGUAUCAUAUCGACUUUUAUAUUAUGAUAUGAAGAUUAUUAUUAUU